rnacentral:rRNA from 1 species
UACGUAGGGGGCAAGCGUUGUCCGGAAUCAUUGGGCGUAAAGAGCGCGUAGGCGGCCCUGUAAGUCCGCUGUGAAAGUCAAGGGCUCAACCCUUGGAUGCCGGUGGAUACUGCAGGGCUAGAGUCCGGAAGAGGAGAGUGGAAUUCCUGGUGUAGCGGUGAAAUGCGCAGAUAUCAGGAAGAACACCCGUGGCGAAGGCGGGUCUCUGGGCCGAUGACUGACGCUGAGGAGCGAAAGCGUGGGGAGCGAACAGG